GACCGCUCCGGUGGCCUAGUGGUAAAGCGUCCGCCUUGGAUGCGGGAUGUCGCGGAUGCAAACCCCGGCUACGUCA